rnacentral:tRNA from 1 species
GCCCGGAUAGCUCAGUCGGAAGAGCGUUAGGCUUUUAACCUAACGGUCCAGGGUUCAAAUCCCUGUUCAGGCG